GAAGCGGGGCGGAACCGUUCUGGCUCGGCGCCCACCCUGCGGGGCGGGGACGUGAGGUGGGGGGGACCUGGCCGUCGGACCUGGCGCAGGCGAGUCGGAACCCCAGCUCCCGAUGCUGGUGGGCGCCCGAGCCGCAGUAUCUGCCGCCCGCUGCGGGACUCCAGUGAGGGUUCCCCGGGGAGCCAGACCCCACGCGUGACGGACCCCGGGGCCGUGGGCGGAGGCGGGACACGCGUGCGCACCCACGGGCGGGCUGUGUUCCACGCGGCGUGACGCGCCGUCCCGUUAUCCUGCCCGCCGGCCGGAGCGGAGCGGAGCGGGGGAACCCAGCCUCCUCCUCCGCCGCAGAAGAAGGGAGCCUGUGUGAGGAGCUCACGUUCGGAGGAGGAAAAGAGAGCCAACAUCUAUGAAUUUCUGCGUACUGAGGGAGAAAGUAAAAAAUAUAGAAAUAAAAAAAGGAAGCAGGGCGCCAGAAAAGGGCUUUCAGUGCGGUGUGACUGAGUUGUGCCGUUUACAUUUGUUUGGGAAACAAUUUUACGAAUUGCAGCAGUGAGGUCCUGUGAUUUACAGAAGCUAUCAGUCAUUAAAUCUGCAUCACCCAUGUUUUGUUGCGAGUUCUUUGUAACGGGCUCCGUUAAAAUGUGGGGAAGAUUAUCAAAUCAGCCGCUUUUGAGAGUUGUCCCUGGCUAUGAUUUUCUGUGAAUCAUGUCAAUGUAUUUUAAAUGUGAACGUAAGUAGGAUGGUGGCUGCUUUUUUUUUUUUACUUUGUUUUACAUAAAUUCUAAAGAACAUUGCUGAGAAUGCAUGGUACUAAAUGUAUUUAAAGCAAUUUUAGAUAGCAUGGCCAGUAUUUUCUGGCAGUUUCAUUUAAAGACCACAGUUUUUUUAAUUAAAUUUGAUAGAGCAAAUGAAGUUGCCUUGAUAGACAAAGUUAAAAGCACAUAAAUCAAAUAAUUGAAUUUUCCAACAAUAGCUAUAACUCUAAGUACUACAGAAUAUUUACCAUAAUUAUCUCUGUAAACAAAUUAUGUAAAGGCAUGAAGUAGCAAUUUGAUCAAAAAAGCUUGUUUCUACGUUUUCCAGUUGUUUCUUCAGAACCUAGAUAAAUGAGAAGCUUGUAUCUUGCAUAUUAUUAAAAAUAUUUUGAUGCUGGAUUAUUCAUGUGCUCUACUUGUGCAAGAUGAAGUCCCCUUUCUAAUGUGGCAUGCUUAACUUCCUGGGCCCUGAGCUAAUUGCUGUACCUCUGUAGUUCAAUCAGAGCAGUCCUGUGUCUUAGGUAAUGCUGGCAUCCCCAUUUUUACAGAAGAGGAAGAGGUAAACUAGGUGCUCCCACGGCACGAUAGCUGACAGCACUAUAGUCUGCUGUUGGUCCCGUUUUAUUUAUUCCAUAGUACCCUUCCUUCCACAUUUCUGAGCCAUGGUUUCAGCCUCUUUUAUAGCGCAGCUGAAACAAGAAAUGACACUGUUGAGUAUCUUCAUUCCCCAUAGAUUAAUCCCUGGUGGGUCCGUCCUUGGAAAUAGCUGCUUUGAAGUGCAGAGUAAAAAUUCCAAGUAUAUGUCGAUCUCUCCCCCUGCUCAGUUUUCCCUGAUUUCUCAGGUAAGGGGAAAAAUAUCCAGAGAGUUUACCAGGACCUUCCAGGCCCCAAGUGAUCUCCUCCCCUGCACGUUGCUGGCCAACCUCACUUCAUGGACUCCCGUCUCCCUGGAAUCCACCUUGACCUCCACACCCGCUUGGCAUCUGUCAGCUUCUGGGCUUGGUGUUCCUCCUUGGAAAGCUUCCCCACUCCAGCCACCUCUACUUUUUGUUAAAUUUUCAGUUCUUUCUGCCAGAUUUUUCUCACAUGCCAUGUCAGAUCCGUGGGUCAGUUUGUUUGCCAUUAGAGUACAGACUUCAUUUUCUUCUUUUUAGAAUCUCAACACCUCCACUCCACAACAGCGCAUGAAAUGUGCCUCCAUGACAAGCUGUCCAAGGAGGAGUGUUGGUGCUUGUAUACCAGAAGUCCAAAUUCUGACCUAAGUUAUUUCUUUCAGUGCUCGCCCAACAUACUGGGGAGGCAUGAGUAGCCAUGUUUGAGAAGUGACAUGGUUGGCUACCUCCGAACAGUGUAGCGGCUAGUGGAAGGCUGUACAACAAUUACACGUGCUGUCUUUGGAACCACUGGAGGUGUCCGUCCAUACAAUCCCUCCAUUUUCUGUCUUCCUGUUUCUGAACACUGUGGACAUCCAAUACUGAUCACCCAAUAUGAUGACCACAAUGUAGACUAUAAAGUUUGUUGAGAUGUGUACCUUUCAAGCUUAUAAGUUUUAACAAUUAUUAUAGGUCCUUUAGUUCUGCUCUUACAAGCACAUCUCAAUACAGCAUUCAGAAUGAGCAGGGUAAAUAUACAUGAAGACAUGUACACACAGGUAUGUGAAGAUGUAAUAGCUGUCUCCGUGAAAAAGCAUGUCCUCUAUUGAAACUAAAACUGGCUCUGCAUUCUAACACUGCAAUUAGCCAGGAGUGCAAGUGCACUUUCUCUUCUCUUAAUUUCAUUGGCUCUACUAGUUUACUGCAUUUCUUGACAUUUAAAAUAAAAACUUACAGUGUCCAAGCACUUCUGUCUUUAUGGCGUUUUUACAAAAACUAAAAAGAAUAUUUUAAACUUUAGAUGCAAUGUUUGAUGGCUCUUGGUUCCAAUAUUCUUUUUAAAAAAAUAAAUUCCCAUAAAAGGGAGUGGGAGAAUCUAGGUAUGUUUAUUUAACUAACUCUACAGAACUUUUGAGUACCCUCUUUAAUGGUAAAGUGGUUUAGCAGAUACUGUUGGAAACACUGAAAAUGAUCCAGGGACUCCGGUCAACUUCAAAUGUCAGAUAACAAUGAAAAUUAGGGCUUUGAGAAUUGGUGGUGGCAAGGGGUACUUUAGGGGGAGCAGUCUUUUGGCUUUUGUGCAAAGAAUCCAAUAGUCACAUGCUUUCUUUCAUUGAAGCAUGCGUGUAUCUCUUGUAAGACAGGAAGCUCUGCCCCCUUGGCUGCUGUGAUAUACUCCGUGCUGCCUUCAGACCCCUAGUGUGUUCAUUCGUUCCUUCCGGAUGCAACACCAGCAUCCAGCUUCAACCCCUGCCCAGCAGUUAAAUAUUAACUGCCCGUGUAAGGUUUCUGCUCGUUUGACCCUAAAUGAAACUGUAGAGGUAAAAACACUCAGAACCAGGAUGCAGGCCCUCGUGCCAUGUAACCUGACCUUCAAUCCAUGUUUAAACAGACCUCCAAGUAAAAAUAGCUGUUAAUUACAGGAUUGAGAGUGAGCUUCAAACGCUCUCUGUUUUGACCAAUUUUCAUACUGACUCAUGGCAUUAAUUUCAGUAUUGCUUCUCUGGAUUGGGCUAAUUUCAUGUUUUUUUUUUCCUCUCUCUCUCUCUUCAGGAUCUGGGUCCCUCAGAAUGAGUCAGUGGUUAGGUUAUUUUAGCAUGUUCGAUAGCUAACAUUUGGUUGGUUCACAGUGUGUUAAUUUUAAACAGCUAAUGUGAGUAAACACUUUAUAAGCAAAGGCUAUAACACUCAUGCCAUUCCCAGACAUUUAAUCUAAUGCCAUUGUCCUUAAUAUAACUUAGAAAGCUGAAUGUAUUUUUGUGGUAAUUGUGGCAUACAUGACUUCUAAACUGAGUUCCCAGAAGGUCAGUGAGAGACCAAAAGGAGUCCUCUAGGGUGACAGGCCCUGUGGUUAUCUCUGUACACUGCAGUCCAGAGUUGACAAUUGCCUCCAUUUUCCAGUUGAAGACAGUGAGGUCCAGAGAGUAAGUAAUAGGACUGGUCCCUCAGUCAGUAAACCCUGGUGACAGGAUCCUCAUCAGACCUUCAAAGUGGGUGACUGGACAUGCGGCUGGUCCUUCCAUAAGUUACAUUCAGAUGCCCAGGAGCCGGGUCUCCUUCUCAGUAUUUAACCCUACUGUGAUGUGAGAUCGUUCAUGGCUUCAGCUCUCGCAUCUAACAGUGCUGGUGUUGUACAAGGAAAAAGAAUCUGCUAGUGGCUGCUAGGGAAAGGAGGGUCAAGGUGGGCGCCCAGGCUGUGUCAGAUAGUUCCACACCCACGAGACCCCAGGCGGAGUUGACUGGACUUGAUACUUUUUUUAAGAGAGGAGACAUGACAGGGAACGUGUUGUGUGUGUGUGUGUGUGGGGGGGUGGAUAGGAUCAAGAUACAUUGUAUACAUGCAUGAAGUUUUGACAAUCACUAUUUAACUAUCUCACUCUCAGUGUGUAUAAAGUCCUUGGGGGGGGGGGGGUUCUUUCCUAAAAGCCUGAGCAAAUAACUGGUGUAUCUAAAGGCUGGACUGUUUGGAAGUUCCAGAAGUCUCUAGGGCUGAGUAGUCUUCACUGAGAAGAGAAGAUCUCUGUUGUUUAGUCUGUGGGGUAGCCCUGGAUCCAGAUGGCAGAAGAGAUGCAUUUAAAGCCUUCAGCUCUUGGGCUGAAGACACAACUCAGGAGCUUGCCUACCGGGUAGGAAAUCCAGAGUCCCAUCCCCAGCACUGCAGACACAGAAACCUUUAGGUGUCCAAUUUUGUUCUCCAAAAAUCUUUUUAAAAAUAUUUAACUAUUUUCAUUUCCCUUAGGUGUGUGAUACUUAAGGCUGGACGCCUUAUAUUUUACAUUUUCCAAAAACAAAUUUCCCACCCAACACAUGACAACUUUAUGGCGUAACUUGCUAGCUAGUGGAGGGAACUUUUAUGCAGGCAGAACGGAAGGACCCCUUGAAGGAGCAGCUGAGCUUUGCUCCUUCUGUUCCCUUGUUUUCUUCACAAAUAGCUACUCUUCAGAUAAACAAAAGAAAAAAGAAUAAGACCACAGAGACAAACUUCGUGAAGGGGUGGGGAGCAGCCUCUGGGAAUUCAAAUGGUUUCUCUGCCUUUACUACAGGGAAAGGGAAGGUCCCGGAGCUGACUCUGUGUGUUCAGUAUUUGCAGGGAUUCUCGGGACUGGGAAUGAAUUGUCCCACCAGUGAACCGGACCCCCAGACCUUUUUACUGGGGGAAGGAUGGGGAUGCACUCGUGGACCGUGUGUGGAGGCUCUCCAGGACCCCCGCAGCCUAGGCAGAGUCUACCUUCCAGGGCUGGGCACUUGCUCAUCCUAGCACAGAUGAUGAACUCACAGAGAUCUGGAACUCACAGAGAUCCGCCUACCUCUGCCUCCCGAGUGCUGGGAUUAAAGAAACCACUUCCUCCUGCUGAUGGCACAGCCUGGUGGGAGGGAGCGCGGACCCCCAGCCGGCUGUGCUGUGGGAAGCAACAGUUUCUCGGAAGCUGGCCACAGUUCUUAACGCCGCGCUGCUGGACGGGAGAAGCACACUGUGCAGCAGCCAGGCAGAGGCUUCUGCACCCCACCACUGCCCCAGAAGCAACUGGCCAAUUGCUGGAGGAACGCAGAGGUCAUAUCUUCUAGAGAGCUCAGGCGUUCUAGAUGCGAGUGCCCGGCUUCCUGUUCCUGCUGCCAUGCAGUUACUCUGCCAUCAUGGACUCUAACCCUCUGGAACCGUAAGCCCAAAUAAACACUUUCACGAGAAAGCACAGCUCAAGAGGAGCCCUUCCUUACAACGCCUUGGAGCUCCUGAGUCCAUUAACACUGAUUCCCAUUUUCCAGUUACCUUGAUCCAUAACCCUCCUUCAGGCAUGAGCUGACUGGGGCUCGGUUUCACCAGCUGAGAGGGGCAAGUCACCGUUGCCCAGCUUUGCCUCUGACUCAGGCCAGCGCCCCCACACGCACGCACGCACGCACGCGCAUGCAAGUCUCCCCCAAGAACUGUCUCGACAAGCCCAUCUUCAUGGUACACAGCCGGUUAAAAUUCUCUGAAUGAUCAGAGGCCACGCCAGGCCCUUCCUCCUGUGUGGCUGCAGCUGGUGAUGGCCUCAGGAGGGACUCACCACUGUGCUCACUUUACAAGACCCUCUUAGAGCGUGUACAACGCAACUACCCAUGCUCCCUUUUCUUUUCUUCUUAUGGGGUGGGUGAAGAGGGAGUUUGGGAAACAGGGUUUCUUUGUGUAGCCUUGGCUGUCCUAGAACUAGCUCUGUGGACCAGGCUGGGUUCGAACUCAGAGAUCCACCUGCUUCUGAGGUGUGCUACUCCCACAACUGCUUAGCUUCAUUAAAGGUUUCUUAAAAUGAGUAAGAGGGACUAAGAGGAGGUUGGACAUUGUUGGUGAAUUCUUGCACAUUUUCCCCAAUGCUCCCUUAUAAUUUAACACAGGAUAUAGAAUUUAACCACCAAUAUCUGUACACUUUCAUUUAAAGCAACAUAGUUGCAAUCCCAGGUAUUUCUAAAAUGUGAAAUACCAAACUAAGUUAUUUUUUCCAGUUAGUUAUGCAGCUGUCCUUGCUGUAGACCGAGUGCCCAAACUGAGCAGGAUAGUUUAUAAGACCUGUAAUCCCUUUGUUUUGUCUCAAUCACUGGAAGGAAUUACAAGGCUUUUGCUCAGGGACUUAGACUUGAUGACAUUACCACCUGUUUAAACCAAUCCCUUUUCACAAUGGGGGAUCUUCCAAAGCUACCUAGGGCCAGGUUGCCAUUCUCUGCCUUCCUGGUGAAAACAAGCCUGGCCAAUCCAUCCAAGUUUCUGCCCAUGAAUUCACUACCAGCCUAAGACCGUGACCGUCAUCCCUGGGAAACAGUUCUGCAGCUCUUGGGGAAGAAAAAGAAGACUUUUCUAGGCUCCUCGCAAACUCUGAGCCCCUUUCCCUCCCUUGCUCUGUGUACUCCACGCCUUCCAAAAUAAGAUCAAGGAGUUCCGAAUCCAUGAAAAAGUC